ensembl:lncRNA
AUCCUGCUUGCAGCUCGGAAGAUGAGGAUUGGCUCUCCUCUUGGGGAGAUGGUCUGGGGACCAGACAUGAGCUGCUGAGGCCAGAGGGAAGACUGGCCAGUGCUCUGGCCACACGCUGGAACAGCCAAGAGAGAUGAGAGAUGGAGCAAAGCCACAGGGUGUAAACGUAGGCUUGAAUAAGGAGUCCAGUCAAAGAGCCGGAGGGACUCCCCUUCAUUGAGUUCCUCACUGUCGACACACACAGAGAGCGGGAAGGAGUGACCACACAUCCAGAGCCUGCUGUGGAGGAGACACAGCGACAGGCCUAUUCAAUACUUAUCUCGUUUAAUCUGCAUGCCAAUGUCAAAGCUUGAGGAGAUUAUGUGAAUUUGGGAAGGACACAUAGCAGAGCCAGGAUUCAAUUCAGAUCUGCUUGACUCCAAGGCCAUUCCAGAAAUCUCCCUUUCUUUAGGCCUUCUGACAUGAGAGUUGGGUUCUUUCUGCCAAGAUUUCCAUCUCUGACGAUCAUUUAAAUGAAUACAAGAGUGCAGGUGGGCUCUAAUCCAAUACGACUAAUGUCCUUAUGAGACGAGGAAAUUAACACAUGGAAAAGCACAGAAGGAAGACCACGUGAGGACACCAGGAGAAGAAGGCCACCUACAAGCCAAGGAGAGAGGCCUCAGAAGAAAGCAACCACACUGGCACCUUGAUCUCAGACUUCUAACCUCCAGAUUUAAGGCAUGGCGGAGUCCUUCAGAUUAUGGAUGCCGCCAAACUUGACAUUCCACCCUGAAUGUAUCCAGUGUUUCAAUUCUCUGAAGCCCGGUCGAACCACUGGAGGAUGUGAAGUCACGUGAAAGAGAACAUAGACAUCCCAGUCAACAACUGCAUCCAACAGCCAGACAUGAUGUUCAGGUUGGCGGCAACAGUCCCCACCCUGUGCCAAAGGAAGGUUUCCAUCACUUCGAAUGGGAAGACACACUUGCGACCCCACUGUGCAGCCCUUGUGUGAUGAGAACUAUAUAAUGUUAUACCUCCUGUGCAAUUCCACGAAACAACCCCACUCUUCACCUACUCCUUGCAGCAGCGGCUGUGGUGUUGCUGUCUAAUUAUGCACAGUGUUGUGUGGGUGAUUUUCCUGAGUUGGACAGGACAGCUCCUCAAAGAAUUUUAUAUGUGUGUGUGUGUGUGUGUGUGUGUGUGUGUGUGUGUGUGUUCAGCCUUCCUCAGACCACCAAAAUAAAUCCUGUGCUUUCUUGCUCAAUUCUUACCUUUUUUGGUUCUAAUUGGAGAGUCAGGAAAGCAGUCUUUGGGUGGCGAGAGAAGGGGGAGGAGGACGAUAUCUGUGCCGGGCCUGGCGAUGGUGGGCCAGGUGUGGCUAAGAGUGGAAAGAAAGUUUCUCAAAAAAAAGUCAUUCUAAACUAUGUAUUUGGAUCCCGUUCAUGCUUUUUGAGAAAUGCAGGUAAAUAAUUUUUUAUUAUUUUUGGUUGUUAUAUUGUCUAUUUUGGCUAUGAUACUCCCCACAAAUAAACUAUGAAGACCCCUUACAAUAAAGAUUAUAUUUUAAUAAAAAGUAAA